GGGGGGCAGGCUGGGCAGGCCCUGCCCGGGCCGGGAGCGCGGCGCCGGGGCUGCGAGAGGCGCUGCCGCCGGUGAGCGGCUCGGCGACCUUUUGGCGGCGGGGCGGUUCCAAGCGUCCCUACUCCCUCGGCGGCAGAGGCGGCGGGCGAUGAAUGCCGCGCGUCAGGGAGCGGCUUUCUGCGCGGAUGGGGAAGAUCGCGGGAGGAAAUCGUGAUUGGAGAUGUGAAAGGCCGAAUGGCAAAAUCCCAAUGGCAUUGCAGCUCCCCUUUGGGAAUGACCACUCCUACUCUCAGUUAAGUGUACCUGAACCUGCCUUUCAAAUCGGUUGCACAGCACCAUGUUCCCUUCAGACCCAGCCUCUCCAGUAGCUCUUUUCAAUCCAUCUUUCAGGGUCACAGUCUUGGAAAUCUACUUACAAAAGCUUAGAAUGAUCUUCACUGCCAAAUCUCUUCCUGUUACCUCUUUCUGCUCUUGCUGAUUAUUUACUAAAAGGAAAACUCCGGCCUCUCUGCCUCAAGGCUGCCUGCUUCUGGAGAAAGGAAUGCAGUUCCAUCAUGCUGUUCACAUGAUGCACUUCCAGAAAAAUGAUAUCUGAGGAAGACAGAAGGUAGCAAAGCUCUAGCAUGACAAAGUGGUAACUGUUAGAGAAGGGAGGGAGGCUGAUGUAAGUCAACUACUAGUUAGAGGAAUAGUGCAAGUCCUGCAGCCUCCUGCUUGCAUGAUGCUCUCCCAAGGAGAUGCCCCAAGUGCUCUCUCCUCCGUAACUACUGCAAGCAGUGCUUGUCCUGUGAUGAAAGACUCCUCAGAAAAAAAGUAAAAGAAAGAUGUUUGGCCUUGACACGGAUGAUGACAUGAACUGUAGCAGGGUGGAGAGAAGCCAGGAGUUGCUCGACAUCUAGCCAGACCACCAGACAUUUCCUGCCAACACGUGUCAUUCCUAGAGGAAGGAGUAUUUGGUCGGCACAAAUGAUCAUGAAUAAACUUUAGCAUUGGCUGAUAUACCCUAUGCUUCUGACAAGCACCUUCCUUUAUAUUAUGAAAGAGCUAGCAAAUACCCUCCAUCCAUUAUUCACCCUUCUCUUCUGCUGUGGUCAUAAAUACGUUACACCUGU